GGAGCUCUGGAAAUAAAUCUUUUCAGAUGCCUCUGGCUUCAGGUUAUUAUGUUGAUGUCACAGUACCUUGUAUAGGUGCUGCUUCAAAUUAAGCAGAUCUAUUGCCUAAAACUCUUUGUAGCAAAGCCUCUGGUACAAUGAGUAAUGGAAACCAUGCAGUUCAGAGAAAUCCAGAAGCGAAUAAUGGAUGGCAGAUAAAAACUCCAGACCAAUCCGUACACCCUGGGGUGGCACUAGACAGGUAUCUGCUACAGUCAGUCUUCCAUAGCCAGGUGCAUUUCUACCGAAUAGCCUUCCUCAAUGGCAAACCAACAAACCUGAACAAACCGCUUGACCACAAACCUACAAGAAGCCCUUGUGAGGCAUGCUCAUGUUUUUGAUAUGCUGUUCUAUCUAAUUCCUUUCCCCAAUUUUUCAGAAGUUAAA